ensembl:misc_RNA RNase_MRP RNase MRP
GGUUCCUGCUGAAGGCCUGUAUCCUAGGCUACAAAUGGAGGACUUGUUCCCUACGCUACUGCUUAGGGGAAAGCCCCGGGACCUUGGACAGACAGUGCCGCGCGCGCACGCAUGCACGCAGACCUUGCUGUUUCUCACUGUAAACCCACCAAGAAGCAACCCCACGGUCUGCUGCGGGCAAGCUGAGCGGUGUGACGGUGGGAUGUCAUUCGUCAGCAGUGCUAGUUAUACAAGCAGUGAGCCUCUGCGCGCACCAGUCAAACGGGGUUCAUUCUUGGCGCAGC